UGUGGUUUUUUCAAUUGGAUCCGCAGCAACAUGAUCUUAAGCUGAAAGCUGUUCUUAGCCGUGCUAGUUAGGGAUACUUUGGCGAGCUUGUCCCGAUCGAAGCCACAUCUACUUGGAGGCAAUAUGUAGAUAUAUCAUGUGAACAUGGGCUGCCUCUGAUUUUGUUAGCUGAGGCGUACCAGAAGGAUUAAACAGAGAUAAACUCUGCGGAGGCAGUAACGGGACCAAGUGAGGCAGUGGCAGAUGAAUUAGACCCGGUAAGUGUCGGGGUUAGGGCAGAUGUUGGGGAUAUUCCUGAGAUGCAACCGAUGGGUGUUGCCGAUGAGGGGGAGCAUAUCCCUAGCAUAAUUGAAGAGAUAGAGUUGGAGGAUCAAGAGCUGGAGGAAGCCGUUGCCGAUGAGGAUUCAUCUGACGAGGAGGGUAAUGCUCCAGUUCCUGCAGAGUGGAGGGAUCAGAAAUUUUCAAAGCUGGUAGUUAGUGAGGCUGAUCGGGCACCGUGGGAGUAUCAUGAGAACGAGCCCAGUGCCGACACCCUCACCACUCACAGGCUACUCAGAUUAUUUCGGUGAUGAGGCCGGGCCAUCUUCAGCUGCAUCGCGACCGAUCCCACCACCACCGUUCGACCCCUACUACGGCACGCACGCUUGACCAUAUGCUACUGCACCGGCAUACCACAUAGGCCCCUCCAGCCAGUACACAUGGACGCCCGCGGAUCCUUCUCAGUCUUCAUACUCGAGUCAGGAGGAUGAGCCUGAGCCAGACCCCCCGUUCAACCUCGUGCGGGAUUUCUUCGGGGGCACACCAGACUACGACAUCCUCCAGCAGUCCCAGGUACCCAGUGCUCCACUUCGGACACAACACACCCAGGAGGAGGCCUCGACACCGGUGUUCCCUACUAGGCCUACCAGACAGGUCGGUCCACCCGACCCCCCUGACCUACUCUAGGGGCCACGUGAGGGCCAACCAGCGGCAGCAGUAGCGGACCAUGAUGGGGGAACGGCCGAUGGU